rnacentral:rRNA from 1 species
GACGAACGCUGGCGGCGUGCCUAAUACAUGCAAGUAGAACGCAGUUGCGCACGGGUGAGUAACGCGUAGGUAACUGCCUCAUAGCGGGGGAUAACUAUUGGAAACGAUAGCUAAUACCGCAUACAGUGAGAUGGACCUGAUUUGUAUUAGCUAGUUGGUGCGGUAAAGGCUCACCAAGGCGAAGAAACAUAGCCGACCUGAGAGGGUGAUCUGCCAAACUUGGACUGUGACACGGCCCAGACUCCUACGGGGGGCCGCAGUAGGGAAUCUUCGGCAAUGGACGGAAAUCUUACCGAGCAACGCCGCGUGAGUGAAGAAGGUUUUCGGAUCGUAAAGCUCUGUUGUUGGAGAAGCGGUCACUAACCAGAAAGGGCCGGCUAACUACGUGCCAGCAGCCGCGGUAAUAC